rnacentral:rRNA from 1 species
CCUACGGGAGGCAGCAGUGAGGAAUAUUGGUCAAUGGACGAGAGUCUGAACCAGCCAAGUAGCGUGAAGGAUGACUGCCCUAUGGGUUGUAAACUUCUUUUAUAUGGGAAUAAAAUGUUCCACGUGUGAGAUUUUAUAUGUACCAUAUGAAUAAGGAUCGGCUAACUCCGUGCCAGCAGCCGCGGUAGUACGGAGGAUCCGAGCGUUAUCCGGAUUGAUUGGGUUUAAAGGGAGCGUAGGUGGAUUGUCAAGUCAAUGGUGAAAGUUUGCGGCUCAACCGUAAAAUUGCAGUUGAAACUGGCAGUCUUGAGUACAGUAGAGGUGAGCGGAAUUCGUGGUGUAGCGGUGAAAUGCUUAGAUAUUACGAAGAACUCCGAUUGCGAAGGCAGUUCACUGGACUGCAACUGACACUGAGGCUCGAAAGUGUGGGUAUCAAACAGGAUUAGAUACCCGAGUAGUC